CCUCCUCCCUCGCUCGUCUCCCAAUCCCCAUGCACGCCCGCACCCCUCCCUCCUCCCUCGCUUGUCUCAGCCGCCACCCCCACGAACCCUAGGCGCCACCCCCACGAACCCUAGCCGCCACCCCCAUGAACCCUUAGCUGCUGCCUUCCUUCAUCCGUCCUCCUCCCCCUCCCUGGUACGAGCCCCUCCCCGGCCGCCGCGAGCUCCUCCUCCUCCGUUCUCACAUGCUCCAACCUGAGCACGCCGGCGGAGACACACACCGCGAGGUCCCGAAGCAGUUCAGCCAGCACCGCGAGGCCCCGGAGCAGUUCAUCCAGUACAGAGCCCCUCCGUACAAGAGGAAACCCGUGGCCAAUCCAGCCAACAACGACGACGCGUAGGAGAGCUCGGCCUUGAUGAGGAAAGCAGUGGAGUUGGUGCAGCAGCGAAGGUCAGGGUCGGCCGUGGAGGGAGCCUUGCUGGCCGAAGCAGCAGGAGCAAGAAGGUUGAGGUAGUUCAGAGACUGAAUGCAUAUAAGAAUCGAGAACCUUCACAGUGGAUUCAUGAUGAUGAUCAUCUACCGAGGCAUCAAGAUGAGCACAUCAUCUUGGACAAGCAUAUGUAAAUUUCUUCUCGCAUCCCGAGUACAUAUGUGAGGCUAUGGGAGUACUUUUUCAUGUGAUGAUGGGAGGAACAAAUUGUACCAUGUGAACACAAUCGCUGGUUGUUUUGAAGGUUUCUUCGCAGAGUGGCAUAUUAAUUAUUUGGUCCUGCACACCCUAAUUAGGAUUGGGAUAAGUUGGUCAAUGCAGGAAAAUCUGAAAGAAAGCGAGUAGAAUCAACAUUUGAAGACCACAAUCUUCCAGAUCUGAGAAAGAAGAUGAACAGAAGAAUCCAAUAGAAGAUUUGGUGAAGAACAAGAUUUUAUUGCUGUACUCCUACAAGGUGUUCGACGAAAAUCCCAGAAGGCUGGCAGGGGAAGAAUGAUCUAUGUAAGCCAUGUGAUUUCCUUAUUCAGCUGCAGUAAGUAAUUCUAAUAGGAAGACUAUUGGUUCAACUGAAGAUCCUGAGUCAGUGUGUGGACAGCUUAUUGGUUCCUAGGGGACGUCUCAUGGUUGUUAUCUAUGGGAGGAGAGGAUGACAGCCACAACAGCAAGCGCCAAGCGGCAUGCUGCCCCAACCAGCCGUCGUACAUGGCCGUGUCAAUUUUACGUUACCUUGCUUCCUGAUGUUCGAUUUUCGUCUUUUGCUUACUUCUCCUCCCAGUGUUGGUGCAAGAUCGUUCGGUUCAUUGUUCAUUGUUCCGCUGGCUACUCAGGUUUGCCAACGACAUUAGUUUGUUGUUUUAUCCCAGAGGUGGAUUAUUUCUGCGGGGUUGAGCUCCUCCAUGACCCAAUUUCUUACCUUGCUAGUUGUGUCAUAUGGCAGUCGGCAUUUGCUUGAUGAAUGUUUCAGUUCCUCUUGUUUGUUUGCAUUCUGAUCAAGCCAUGGCGCAUAUUGCCUCCGAUUUGCUUAUUUGAGUGUUCUGUUAUAUAGAAAAUUUAAUUUGCUUGUUUUUCACUUCUAUAGGGAUAUGAGGAGAGAGCUCUGUUGUUGGCAGCGGCUGCAUCAUUUCAACAAGUGACAUGGUUGAUCUUUGUUGCAUGGUAUGUACCUAAGGUUGGCGAUGUUGAAUUAGAUUACAGAUGCGAGCACUAGGUGUUUGUACAAAAGCUCAAGGUGGAGUGCUCACAAGAGGACGACAACUUUCAGGCAAUAGGUAACCGUUCAGGCGAGGGUGUAAUAUAGAAUAUGAAGCAGGAGCUGGUCUUGCUGCUGCUGCUGAAGGAAGAAGCAUAUGUGUAUGAGGAGGAGGUGAAGGCGACGACAGAGCCAUAGCUGCUCGCCAGCUCUGGCAAUCCCUCCUGCCAGAAGCACAACACCAUGUCCUAGAGUGUUAUUAAUAUGGUGAGUGAUGGAAGGGUAAGCAUGAGGAGAAGAGCAGUCCAAAGGGCUGAUGGACCAUGUCACUUAUACGGAAAGAACAAAUUUUCUUUUAGAUGAUUUGAGUGUAUGCUGAUGUGUGAAAGUUAAUCAUUUGGAUUCACACCUAGCCUAUUAUGUGUGUUCAGUAUUUUCUUGUGCAUUGUUAGAAUGUUUUCAGUG